rnacentral:rRNA from 1 species
AACGAACGCUGGCGGCAUGCCUAACACAUGCAAGUCGAACGAGAUCUUCGGGUCUAGUGGCGCACGGGUGCGUAACGCGUGGGAAUCUGCCCUUUGGUUCGGAAUAACAGUUGGAAACGACUGCUAAUACCGGAUGAUGACGAAAGUCCAAAGAUUUAUCGCCAGAGGAUGAGCCCGCGUAGGAUUAGCUAGUUGGUGUGGUAAAGGCGCACCAAGGCGACGAUCCUUAGCUGGUCUGAGAGGAUGAUCAGCCACACUGGGACUGAGACACGGCCCAGACUCCUACGGGAGGCAGCAGUGGGGAAUAUUGGACAAUGGGCGAAAGCCUGAUCCAGCAAUGCCGCGUGAGUGAUGAAGGCCUUAGGGUUGUAAAGCUCUUACCCGGGAUGAUAAUGACAGUACCGGGAGAAUAAGCUCCGGCUAACUCCGUGCCAGCAGCCGCCGUAA